CUGGUGGCGUGCCUAAUACAUGCAAGUCGAACGCGCGUAUCAGGAGCUUGCUCCUGUGACGCGAGUGGCGGACGGGUGAGUAACACGUAGGCAACCUGCCCAUCAGACCGGGAUAACCACGGGAAACCGUGGCUAAUACCGGAUAAUCCUUUUCCACACAAGUGGGAGAGUUGAAAGGCGGCCUUUUGUCUGUCACUGGUGGAUGGCCCUGCGGCGCAUUAUCUGGGUGGUGGGGUAACGGCCCACCAAGGACACUAUGCGUACCCCACCUGACGGCCACACUGGGACUGACACACGGCCCACACUCCUACGGGAGGCAGCAGUAGGGAAUCUUCCGCAGUGGACGAAAGUCUGACAGAGCCACGCCGCGUGAGUGAAGAAGGGUUUCGGCUCGUAAAACUCUGUUGUCAGGGAAGAACGCCCACGGGAGUAACUGCCCGUCGGGUGACGGCACCUGACCAGAAAGCCACGGCUAACUACGUGCCAGCAGCCGCGGAUAUACAUAGGUGGCAAGCGUUAUCCGGAAUUAUUGGGCGUAAAGCGCGCGUACGCGGUUCGUUAAGUCUGAUGUGAAAGCCCCCGGCUCAACCGGGGAGGGUCAUUGGAAACUGGCGGACUUGAGUCGCAGAAGAGGAGAGUGGAAUUCCAUGUGUAGCGGUGAAAUGCGCAGAGAUAUGGAGGAACACCAGUGGCGAAGGCGGCUCUCUGGUCUGCAACUGACGCUGAGGUGCAGAAAGCGUGGGGAUCACACAGGAUUAG
rnacentral:rRNA from 1 species